AGCCACAGUCAAGAAGAGAGUCUUGCACUUCACAUAUCAUCAAAUUUUCAGAACACCACCACAUUAAUGCUGCCUGUCUAGUGUAUUCAACCAUUAUCCAAGCUACCACCUUUCACCACCUGAGAGCCAGAUCUCCCAAGUAGAACAUCCAUCGCAGUUCAAUCUGAGCGCAUUUAUCAACAAAGAUCUUUUUGCUAUGCAGGAGCCAAAUCAACUCUCUUAGUGAUGACAUUCUUGCAGAACAGAUUAAGAGUUAAUUCAAUUCAUCAGAGUUCUACGGCUUCUGAAUAUAUUGAGAUUCAAGUUCACAGAUCAAAUCAGCACCAUCAAUAACUACCACUGAUAGCAAAUAGCAUAUUACAGAGCCAGUUGUUGGCAAUGUCAUUUCUUCCUUCUAUGGCUCUUAACCUUCCAUCCCUCUCAGUCAACAAGCAAUCCACUGUUUUGACAUUCCCUCCUCAACUUCCAGACCACUCAAAUCAAGCUCUCCAUCAAUCCCAGUAUACUGUAUACUCCCAGCAACGUAGUAAGUUGUCUGGGAGGUGUUAGCUGGUGAAGAUGACGCACGGAGUGAAACAUCGAAUGAGCCAGUUCUACACAAUGAAAAUACACAGAAUGCAGCUCAGAGCCAACAAGUCAACUGCGAUGGGGAGAUGGGUGUGAGGUUCUCUUCUUGACUUGCGGUCUACAUUGCAGGCCAGUUAUUUGUAUGUAAAGCUGUGUAUGUAUCAAACCUAU
rnacentral:sRNA from 2 species